GACGAACGCUGGCGGCGUGCUUAACACAUGCAAGUCGAGCGGUAAGGCCCUUUCGGGGGUACACGAGCGGCGAACGGGUGAGUAACACGUGGGUGACCUGCCCUCAGCUCUGGGAUAAGCCCGGGAAACUGGGUCUAAUACUGGAUAUUACUCUGCGGUGCAUGCCGUGGGGUGGAAAGCCUUGUGCGGCUGGGGAUGGGCCCGCGGCCUAUCAGCUUGUUGGUGGGGUGAUGGCCUACCAAGGCGACGACGGGUAGCCGGCCUGAGAGGGCGACCGGCCACACUGGGACUGAGACACGGCCCAGACUCCUACGGGAGGCAGCAGUGGGGAAUCUUGCGCAAUGGGCGAAAGCCUGACGCAGCGACGCCGCGUGAGGGAUGACGGCCUGUGU
rnacentral:rRNA from 1 species